CGUAGGAGGCGAGUCGUUAUCCGGAUUCACUGGGCGUAAAGGGCAUGUAGGCGGAUGUGCAAGUCCUGUGUUAAAGCCCCUGGCUCAACUGGGGGAGGUCAUGGGAGACUGCACGUCUGGAGGGCAGCAGAGGAGCGUGGAACUCCCGGUGUAGCGGUGGAAUGCGUAGAGAUCGGGAAGAACACCAGUGGCGAAGGCGACGCUCUGGGCUGCAUCUGACGCUGAGAUGCGAAAGUGUGGGGAGCAAACGGGAUUAGAUACCCCGGUAGUCCACACCCUAAACGAUGAACACUAGGUGUGGGUGGGUAUGCCAUCCGUGCCGUAGCUAACGCAUUAAGUGUUCCGCCUGGGGACUAUGAGCGCAAGCUUA
rnacentral:rRNA from 1 species